CUGUUAGAAGAGUAGUAAAAAUAAUCGUUUAAAACGAAGAAACAAGACGGAAGAGGCCUCGUUGAAAGCACCUAUAAAACAUUGUCACAUUAUCAUAUACGAUAACGAGAGUUUCAUUAAUUUAACUCCACAGCGUAAAGGCACUCUUCAGAAAAUCCAAAAAGAGACCACACAACCCCUGAUGGGUCUGACUACACAGAGCCUUCAUCUCUUGACAGGUCAGAGGAGGAGCAGAACUGGCGAUCGCGGAGCCUAAAUAACGGAUGAGACACCAGGGCUCGCUCCUCUGAAGAGGCAGGGGAGGACGCUAAUUCUAGCCAUCACAAAAGCAGGAGAUCACAAACACAACAUUUCCACUUGUUCCACGAGCAGAUUUAAUCAAGCAGAAGUGAGGGAUCAAAUAGUUC